rnacentral:lncRNA from 1 species
AUGAUUCAUGGCUUCUCUACACACACUAAAGGGGGAAGAGCAAAGCUGACCUCAGAGCAUACCUGGGCAGGUGAAAUCACAACACUGCAGAUAUGUAUGAGACAGAUCUCCUGGAUCCCUUUGGGGUCAGAAGCUGAAAAACCUGCUACUUAGAAGUCUAAUAAGUACAUGGCAAAUGCAUAAGCCCACUCUCUUCCCCAGGAGACUUUCUCAGCUACAUGCAAGAAGUUGGUAUAUCACUGAAUCAG